ensembl:snoRNA small nucleolar RNA SNORA79
UGACCUCCGUUCCCCUUCCUGUCUGCAGAGCGUCAGGAAGGUUUAGUGAUGUCACAGAGCAACCGGGUCCUUUUCACCCAGGAAGUCUCGGGCAGCUUCUGCCCGUUGACGAGUGGCUUCCUGGUUUUGCGGGACCCUACAGGU